AUUCAAAGCUGCAGAGAACCAAAAAGAAGAAGAAAAAAAGGCAUGUUUGUGAAGGCAAAGCAGAUGGGAAGAGGACUGCUGCUUAGUCUCACCCACAGAGCGGGGCCUUGAAGUAUCCGGUUCAGGCCAUACACCCACCAUGGACAGAAGGCUUGACUGCUAGACCUGGGUCUUUUGGGCCUGGUUAAUACAGGAGGGUGACCUUGGGAGGCACUCCAGGGCCUGUAAAAGUGCUAAGGAAGGACAAUCUAUCAGUAAGAAAAUAAGACGGUCAGCGGCCUACAAGAAAGGGGCCUCUUGUUUCAGAAGACUGUACUGGGGUGAUGGCCAUGGUUUAAGUUUGAUGUCAACAGUUAAGUCUCACUUGUCUCUGAAUGCACCCAGGACAUAUGGAACCUCAAUAAAUGCUGACUUACAGCAGCUGAGUAAGCAGAUGAAUUGCUAUA